AAAGUAAGUUGGGUAAUCGCUGGUGAAUGAUCGCAAGGUCUCACGAGAGGAAAGUCCGAGCUCCAUAGGGCAGGGUGCUGGAUAACGUCCAGUCAGAGUGAUCUGAAGGAUAGUGCCACAGAAAUGGACCGCCUAUGUAUCAUCAUGUAUGAUGCAGGUAAGGGUGCAACCGUGGUGUAAGAGACCACGAGGAGAUAUGGUGACAUAUUUCCUGGUAAACCCCACUUGGAGCAAGACCUGAUAGGAAUGCACAUGGAGUUGCCCGCUCCGCAUUCGGGUUGGUCGCUUGAGCUGUAUAGUAAUAUACAGCCUAGAUAGAUGAUUACCACUUCAAUGGUGGGAGCUAGAAGCGUUUUACCACUAGAAGAACAGAACUCGGCUUACAGACUUACUUUCCAA
rnacentral:RNase_P_RNA from 2 species